rnacentral:rRNA from 1 species
AUACGUAGGGGGCGAGCGUUGUCCGGAAUUAUUGGGCGUAAAGGGUGCGUAGGCGGCCUUUCAAGUUGGAUGUGAAAUCCCCGUGCUUAACAUGGGAAUUGCAUUCAAAACUGGAGGGCUUGAGUGUGGAAGAGGUAAGUGGAAUUCCCAGUGUAGCGGUGAAAUGCGUAGAUAUUGGGAGGAACACCAGUGGCGAAGGCGACUUACUGGGCCACAACUGACGCUGAUGCACGAAAGCGUGGGGAGCAAACAGGAUUAGAUACCCUGGUAGUCCACGCUGUAAACGAUGGAUACUAGGUGUAGGGGGUAACACCCCCCCUGUGCCGCAGCUAACGCAAUAAGUAUCCCGCCUGGGGAGUACGGUCGCAAGAUUGAA